rnacentral:lncRNA from 1 species
AAACACAAAAAUUGGUAGGGCAUGGUGGCUCACACCUGUAAUCCUAGCACUUUGGGAGGCCAAGGCAGGCAGAUCACUUGAGGUUAGAAGUUCAAGGCCAGCCUGGCCAACAUGGCGAAACCCUGUCUCUACUAAAAAUACAAAAAAUUAGCCAGGCAUGUUGAUGAGUGUCUGUAAUCCCAGCUGCUCAGGAGGCUAAGGCAGGAGAAUCUCUUGAAUCCGAUAAGAGGAGAUUGCAGUGAGCUGAGAUCACGCCACUGCACUCCAGCCUGGGCAGCAGAGCGACACUUGGUCUCAAAAAAAAAAAAAGUCUUUUAAAAUAAAUUUGUUUUUUCAAACAUCUUCAAAAUACCCAUUCUAAAGCCUCUGUCACACUAUUCUAUAAAACUAAUUUUAUCAAGACUAAAUAAAUGUUCCACUUCAUGAUUUUGUUAGGUGUUGCUACUAGCUAGGAUGCUUUCAGUUUCAAGCAACAUAAAACCUUGUCUCAAUCGACUUAAACCAGAAGGAAAAUUUAUUAUCUUACGUAUCAUGUUCCCAAGUAGGAAAUCUCUAGAAUAAAUUAAUUCACUUGCUCAAUAACAUUAUCAGAAUUUGCUCUUUUUCUUUUGUGUUUCUGCCAUACUAAACAUGCCAGAUUUGGCCAUGGCAAGCUCUCCUUAUGGUUACAAAAUGACUAAGCAGUUCCAGAUGUCCCAUGCAGACCAAGUAAUAUCCACCAGAACAAGAGAAGCCACUUCCUACUGGCAUUUUUUUAAUCAGUGAAAAAAAAAUUUCUCCAAAGUUCCUCAGAAGAUACAUAAUAAGUAAAUAUUGGAUCAAAUAUAUUCUUUAAUAAAUCACUAAAAAGGAUUCAGAUAAGCACGUUUGGUUUAGCUAAAUGCACAGCUAUAUAGAGAAGAGUGGAUUACCCAAACAAAAAUCAAUUCUGUUAGAAAGCGAGAAGGGAGAGCUAAACAACAAAAUCUGUUUGCCUUGGCUAUCUUUGCAUUAGAUUCCUUCAUUUUGAUUUGCACGGUCAUAUUACUAGAAAAGUGUUAUGUUUAAGGCUUGUCACUUUUAUUCUCUUACUCCCACUCUGUUUUCACCCCUCCCCACCUAAAGGUUUUAAAUUGCUUCAGUCUGCCCCAUCUACAAGCUCCGAGUCAGUUAUCAUGAUACAAUUAUGUGUAACAUUUUAUAAUAAUUAUAUUAAAAUUAUUGAAACCAGUAAACUAACACUGAUAUAAUAGUAUUAACUAAACUGUAGACCCUAUUCAAAUUUCACCACUUUUUCCAGUAUUGUUCUUUUUCAGUUAAAGGAACUUAUGUAGGAUCCCACCUUACAAGUAAUUAUUAAUUCUUUUUAGUCUCCUCCAAUUUGAGUUUAUCGGGCUUUCCUUGUAUUUCAUAACUUUGACACAUUUCAAGAGUACUGGCAAGUUAUUUCAUAGGAUAAACUUCAUUCACAUUUGUCUGACAUUUUCUCAUGAUUAGAAUGAGGUUAAUGCAUUUUUGGCAAUAAUACUACAGAAACAAUGUUGUGUCUUUCUAAUUACAUCAUAUCAAGAUAUUUUGAUUAUUGAGACAUCUGAUUACCUGUGAUAUUAACCUUGACCACGUGAUUAAGGUGGUGUCUGCUGGGUUUCUCCACUAUAAAGGUACUAUAUUUCCCUGUGUAAGUAAGAAAUACAAAAUACAAUUUUAGAUGAUGCAAAGAUCCUAUUUCAUUCUGAAUUUUCACCCACUAAUUUUAGCACACUUCAGAAGACGCUAAAUUAUUGCUGUGUGUCUACAAAAUUAUUACUAGGGUAUUUGCCUAAAGACAACUUUUCUUCUAUGUUUAUUAGUUGUAAUACUUCUAUAAGGAAGAUUUAUUCAUUCUCUCCCAUUUGAUUGUAAUUUUCUAUCACUAUGGACUUGAAUAUUUAUUUUAUUCAGUGUAUUAAAAUCAAAACUAUCUCCUUAUAACAUAUCCGAUAAAAAAUUUAAUUCAAAAUAGUUCACAUACACGAACAUAAAAGUUAAAACUAUGGACCAGUGCUUUGUUUUGGAAGCUCAUAAUUGAUUCAAUUUAUUUUAUAAGUUUAUGCAAGGCAGUUAUUUCUCCUUGUGUGAGUUUUGGUAGGUUGCGUCUUUCACAAAAUUGGUCCAUUUCAUCUGUUAUCAAAUUUGUACACUCAAGAGUUGCUCAUAUCAUUCCUUUAUUAUCCUUCUAAUGUCCUAAUGUUCACAAGAAGAGUAAUAAUGGCACCUCUUUUCAUUUCUGAUUUUAGUAAUUUUUGUUUUUUCUUUUGUUAUGGUAAAAGUUUUAUAAAUUUUAACUUUUCAUUGAAUUUCAUUUGUUUCACUGAAUUUCUCUAUUGUUUUUGUUUCAAUUUUAUUGAUUUCUACUCUAUUUCUUCUGCUUACUUUGGAUUUAAUUUGCUUUUUCUAAUUUCCUAAAGUAGAUGCUUAUUGAUUUUAGAUCUUUAACAUUUUCCAAUAUAUGCACUCAAUACUAUAAAUUACCCUCUAGC